UACGGAGGGGGCUAGCGUUGUCCGAAUUUACUGGGCGUAAAGCGCGCGUAGGCGGGUUGGUAAGUCCGCUGUGAAAGCCCGGAGCUCAACUCCGGAGGGUCGGUGGAUACUGCCAGUCUUGAAGGUGCUAGGGGGAGAUGGAAUUACCGGUGUAGCGGUGAAAUGCGUAGAUAUCGGUAGGAACACCAGUGGCGAAGGCGGUCUCCUGGGGCAUUCUUGACGCUGAGGUGCGAAAGCGUGGGGAGCAAACAGG
rnacentral:rRNA from 1 species